AAAAUCGCUCGACUUGAGAAUUCCUGAGCAAGUCAAGUCCAACUAUCCCC
rnacentral:tRNA from 1 species